AUUUGGUGAAUAAUUUCAUUUUAUAUAGAUAUAUGAAUAAAAUGAAUAUUACCAAGGGAUAUCAAACUGGUAUCUAAGAAGGAAAAGGCCUGCUUAACUCCAGAACCUUUCUUUUGCUAAGUGACAUUCAUAACUCUUUUUCAUAGAUCAUAACUUUUCUUGAAUCUGUCGGAGAGCUCAGGUUGCUACACAAACAAGCAGCUUGAUAUCUAAAAUAAUAUAUGUUAACUCAAGAGGAGAGAGGAUGUAAGCACUGGCACACCUGUGGCAGUGCAGAGAAGGAAGAGACAUGGACACCACGCAAGUAGGUGUUGUCACCUUAAGUACUGUCUGUCCUACUGAAGUGCACUUUUUUAUCUUCGUGACAGCACCACACUGAGGGAAGCUCUAGUUCAAUGCUUUCUGCUUGGCCUUCAUACGGUUCAUAGGUGAAGGAACUUGCCUUGUCUCAGUUGAGGCUUUGGACUUGGACUUUGAGUUAAUGCUGGAAUGACUUAAGAGUGUGGAGGACAGUUGGGAAAGCAUGAUUGUGUUUUGAAAUGUGAGAAGAACAUGAGAUUUGGGAGGAGACAGGAAUGGAGUGAUAUUAUUUGGCUCUAUGUUGCUACUCAAAUCUCAUGUAGAAUUGUAAUUCACAAUGGUGGGGGAGGAACCUGGUGGGCAGUGAUUGACUCAUGGGGGGGAUUUUCCCCUUGCUGUUCUCAUGAUAAUGAGUGAGUUCUCAUGAGAUCUUGUUGUGUAAAAGUGUGUAGCACUUCCCCUUUGCUUUUUCUCUCUCUCCUGCUCCAACUUGGUGAGAUGUGCUUACCUCCCUUUUGCCUUUCACCAUGAUUGUAUCUUUCCUGGGGCCUUUCAGCCAUUCUUUCUGUACAGCCUGCAGAACUGCGAGGCAAUUAAACCUCCUUUCUUCAUAAAUUACUCAGUCUCAGGUAGUUCUUCACAGCAGUGUGAAAAUAGACUAAUGCAGCCUCUCAAGGUCCUCACUUCAGGCUCUGACCCUGAGAUAGGCCAGUCUUUUGUUAGAAUGUUAGAACAGGGAGAUAGGUUGACAUGAGCAAGAGGAGAAGCCUCUGAAAAAAUGAAGUAUGAAAUAUUUCACACCCCAGAGACCAUCCAAAAUAUGCAGGCUAUAUAUAAUCAGGGAGGAGGGGAAACACCUGUGCAGAAAGAAAUGCCCUUUAAGAUGACCAGUAAUUGCUCAUUCUGCAGUUAACCUAGCUAGCUACAGGCUGUCAAAAAGGAAAGGAGUGCCAAGGAGAAACUCCUAAGAGAUAUGCAGGCACAAUAAGUACAGAUUCAACUGCAAUACAACCUUCCUGGUGGUGGUAAUGAGCAAACCUGUCAUUUGGUAGAAUUUAUAUUCGACACUGUGUUUGCUCAUGCACGUCACCUGACAGUAGGAGAGAAUCUCGCAAACCUGGGGUGGGAACUAGGCAUGGAAAAGACAGAGACUUAAGGCAGAAUGGGGAAACUAGACAAAGGUGGAGACUUGAGACAGAGGCCGGAACUUAAAGAGUCCAACAUAAAAAGCUGCAAGGUAGAAUGCUCUGAGUUGCUGCUGGCUCAUUACAUUCUCUUUUUAGCAGCCUGCUCUGCCUUGUCUUUCCGAGUGUACUGUCUGUGCUACUGCUUAACCCUUGCUCCUACUACUGCUGUUUUCCAGCCAAACCAGCCAAGAGCUGUUUUCUAGCCAGGUCAACCCACUCCUCUCUUGGAGUAUACUCUUAUGUCCUUAAUAAACCUUUUGCUUACAUUACUAAUUGGUCUCUUGCCUGAAUUUUUCACCGCAAGAAGACCAAGGACAGAGGAUUCCUGUACUUCCCCAUAACAAGACCUGUGGUUUAUGUCCUUUCAGCUCCAUAAGCAAUGCUUCAUUGUAGCCAAAAACCAGCCCAAAUAACUGCAAAGCCUCCUUGGAGUCCCAGAACCUCAAAGAUGUAUGGACUGUCCCCAAGCCUCUGAAUGAGAUUGUACAAUCCCACCUCACUCAUAUGCUCAAACACAAACUGAUUCUAACGCACACACACACACACACACACACACAAAGUUCAUGUAUCAAUUUAAAUCACUUAGCCAGGACUUGAAAAGGAAGACUAAGGAGGACUAAAUUUAAAUAUAUCUUUAGAUAAAUAGGGAUUGUUAGGAAUUUAGUUUGCUUUAAUGCAUAAUGAAGAGUUAAUACAUUUACAUUUCCUAAAAAUGUU